UACGAAGGGGGCUAGCGUUGCUCGGAAUCACUGGGCGUAAAGCGCACGUAGGCGGCCUCUUAAGUCGGUGGUGAAAUCCUGGAGCUCAACUCCAGAACUGCCUUUGAUACUGAAGAUCUUGAGUUCGGGAGAGGUGAGUGGAACUGCGAGUGUAGAGGUGAAAUUCGUAGAUAUUCGCAAGAACACCAGUGGCGAAGGCGGCUCACUGGCCCGAUACUGACGCUGAGGCACGAAAGCGUGGGGAGCAAACAGG
rnacentral:rRNA from 1 species